rnacentral:rRNA from 1 species
AAAGCUCCGGCGGUGAAGGAUGAGCCCGCGGCCUAUCAGCUUGUUGGUGGGGUAAUGGCCUACCAAGGCGACGACGGGUAGCCGGCCUGAGAGGGCGACCGGCCACACUGGGACUGAGACACGGCCCAGACUCCUACGGGAGGCAGCAGUGGGGAAUAUUGCACAAUGGGCGAAAGCCUGAUGCAGCGACGCCGCGUGAGGGAUGACGGCCUUCGGGUUGUAAACCUCUUUCAGCAGGGAAGAAGCGAAAGUGACGGUACCUGCAGAAGAAGCGCCGGCUAACUACGUGCCAGCAGCCGCGGUAAUACGUAGGGCGCAAGCGUUGUCCGGAAUUAUUGGGCGUAAAGAGCUCGUAGGCGGCCAGUCGCGUCGGGUGUGAAAGACCGGGGCUUAACCCCGGUUCUGCAUUCGAUACGGGCUGGCUAGAGUGUGGUAGGGGAGAUCGGAAUUCCUGGUGUAGCGGUGAAAUGCGCAGAUAUCAGGAGGAACACCGGUGGCGAAGGCGGAUCUCUGGGCCAUUACUGACGCUGAGGAGCGAAAGCGUGGGGAGCGAACAGGAUUAGAUACCCUGGUAGUCCACGCCGUAAACGGUGGGAACUAGGUGUUGGCGACAUUCCACGUCGUCGGUGCCGCAGCUAACGCAUAAGUCCCCGCC